AACAGUCCACAGAACCUGCUUAUUUCUUUUCAUUUCUCUUGCUUCCUGUCGCUUUUUGGCGGUUUCUGGCUUUUCAGUUUCGAACAUCUGCUCCAAUUCCUCUCCCACUUCCCUCCCUACUUUCCCUUUACAAGGGAGGAAGAAAGCAUAGGUACAAAUAUUAAAACAUUGAGUUUGAGUUGGGAAGAUGAGAUGAAAUAGACCGGAAUCCUCAUUUGCUCAACGAUUUUGCUGCCAUGAAAUGCCAAAAGGUAGAAGAAACCUUUGGUCCUCAGUUAGAGUAUGAACCAAUUGAAGUAGAGCAUAUACUUGCAGAACCUGAAACUGAUAAAUUUUCAGUGGAUGACAUCUUAUGUUUUGGUAAAGAAGAUACAAGGAAAAGCUCAGUGUUGGAGGAAAUCUUUCACGGGUUUGACUAUGGCUUUACAGGAAAAUGUGCUGACUUGGUUCGGCUCAAAAAAUGGCUCGGGUUCGGCUCAAAAACGACUUGGCUCAGCUCGAUGCAAGCGGCUUGGCUUGGGAUUUGGCUUCCUCGCUCAGGCAUAUCUGCAGUACACGGUGGUCAGAAAAAUGAAGCAGAUCGCGUCUGCGAUCUUGCGCGAAGGCACAGCAGACGAUGCGUCUGCGAAGCGAAGCAGAUCGCGGCCAAAAAAGCUUCCCCCGCAUGGCUCUGCGCAUGGCGGAAAAAGAAGGCUAUGCGUCUGGGCAUUUGUGUGUCUGUGCGACACAGAUGGCCAGAGCGAGGGUCUGUGCAAUGCGGAAGGCUGGUGAGUUGCGGCCAGCAGCUCAAUGCGCGGAGGAAGAAGGAACUGGUUCGCACGGCUCUGCGCGCGGUGGAGGAAGGAACCAACCGCUUUCGCACUUCCUCUGAUUUGUCCUCUCCUCCCCUGAUCUGAUCUCUGAUCUGCCAUCUCUUCCCUUGAUCGGAUUUUAUGUUGAUUUUAGAGAAAAAAUAAUAAUUUUAUUUCUCACUCUUAAAUUGUUACAUUUAGGGUAUUUACAUAAUUUCUAUUCUACUGAUAAGAAAAUUUUUACUGUACUAUUUUUCUAAUUAUAUGAGAUUAUUAUUUUCAUAAACUUUUAAUUACAUAAUACCAAAUAAUAAAUUAAAAUAAUUAAAUAAUAAAAUAUGUUACUCAACACUUCCCCUCAAGUUGGUGCAGGGUAUCACGAAUGCUCAAACCAAGUUCUGAAGAGUCAUCCUACAGUUUACCAAUGCCAAAGGAUGCUCAAAAAGUGCUGUAAACUGGAAUUAUAUCUUCAUGCAACAGUUAGCUCGGUUCGGCUCAGAAAACAGCUCGGGUUCAGCUCAAAAACGGCUCGAAGUCGACUAAAAAAUGACUCGAACUCGGCUAAAAAACGGCUCGGUUAAAAAAUGGCUUGGCUCAAGCUUAAAGUCGGCUCGGCUCGGCACAAGCGGCUCGGCUUGGGCUUGGCUUCCUCUCUCAGGCAUAUCUGCAGUACACGGCAGUCAGAAAAAUGAAGCAGAUCGCGUCUGUGAUCUUGCGUGAAGGCACAGCAGGCGACGCAUCUGCAAAGCAAAGCAGAUCGCGGCCAAAAAAGCUUCCUCCAUGUGGCUCUGCGCACGGCAGAAGAAGAAGUCUAUGCGUCUGGGCAUUUGUGUGUCUGUAUGACGCAGAUGGCCGGAGCGAGGGUCUGUGCAAUGCGAAAGGCUGGUGAGUCGCGGCUAGCAGCUCAAUGCGCGGAGGAAGAAGGAACUGGUUCGCACAGCUCUUCGCACGGCUCAAUGCGUGGUGGAGGAAGAAACCAGCUGCUCUUUGCGUGGUGAAGGAACCGACUGCUUUCUCACUUCCUCUGAUCUGUCCUCUCUUCCCUUGAUCGGAUAUCAUGUUGAUUUUGGAGAAAAAAUAAUAAUUUUAUUUCUCAAUCUUAAAUUGUUAUACUUAAAGUACUUAUAAAAUUUCUAUUAUACUGAUAGGAAAAUUUUUAUUGUACAAAAUUUCUAAUUAUUUGAAAUUAUUAUUCUCAUAGAGUUAUAAUUAUAUAAUACCAAAUAAUAAAUUAAAAUAAUUAAAUAAUAAAUAUGUUACUCAACACAUGUAGAUGCAGUGAACAUUCUAAGCUAUAGGUUUGGGGUGACUGGUUUCUGAUCUGGUAAGUGUAGGAUGAGUAUUAGAGAAACUUGUACAGAUCUUAUUAGAGAAAUUUGUACAGAUCUGAUAAGCAGAAGAUCGCUGCUGGUAGGAUGUUGGAUGGGGGAACAACCUUAUCAGGUUUAUCCUAAUUUAAAUUUGAUGAGGUGGUGGCAGGAGAAGGGUUAGGAUCUUCAUUCGUGUGGGAGCUGAGAGAACUAAUACCUUGAUACUAACAAGAUGAAAGAGGAAAACGAUGCAACAGCUAACCUUUUUCAUUUAGGUAAGUGUUUCCAGUUAAGUACCAGUAUGUGUAUAAAUACCUGGCACCCGAUUGCAUACAAUUCAUGCAUUUGAUGAAGGAAAACUUUCUUUCCUGAAUCUCUCUCUGUCUUUCUUUCUGCUUCUCUCCCUCUCUAAACUGGUUCAAUGUGACAGUAUUAAACCAUCUCCAAACAUGAUUUGAUGUAAUCCACAAUGAGAAGAAGAGGGAGAAAGAUUACUAGAUUGAAAGGUCAUAUGAGUAGAAGCAAGAGACUAUAUUGCUGAUCAUUGAGAUUAGAAGCAGGAAAUGAUCUCUGGACAUUAUCAAUAACAGGUACGACACAACUUUGGAAAGAGCGAGUAAGCUGAGGGCAGUAUAGAGCAUUAUGAUUAAGUUGAGGGCUGAAUUGACACUGGAUAGAAGGAACUAUCAUUGAUGAUGUGGGGGCUGGUCGUAGCAAACCUGGAGUAGAGGAGGAAUAAUUGAUGUUGGAGUGGUAUUUUAGAGAUGGUUGAGGUUGAGUUUUAGCCACCAUGUUUGUAUUCUUGUGAUGUAAUUAUUGACUAUUGCCACGGUGUUGGCCUUUUUAUUGGUUUUGUCUGUAACAUUGAUGGGAAGAUUUGCCGUUUGUUUGAGCAGCAAGCAAGGAAGAGGAGAGAAAAAAGGAGCAGGGUUAUCAGCGCAGCUAGCAAGUUUUUGAUGCUUGGUUAGAUGCAUUUCUUGGAGGUAAAGUGCAGUCUGAAUUGUAAGAAAUGAGGGAAGUGGUUUAUGAGAACUCAGGCUGAUUACUACAUUUUUAUUUUCAAUCAGCAUUCCAAGUAUUUGAAGGACAAAAUCUUCUUUAGGGAUGUGGUGAUGAAUGGAAAGGAGAGAAUCAUAAAGGGCUUUGAGCUUUUGUACUUAAGCAUCGAUGGUAAGAUCAUGUUUUUGGGUGUGAUUGAAUUCAUAUUAAGGUGCAGGGAACAGGUGUCGGCUUGAACAUGGAAGGGGUGUUAAAAAAAAAGCAGUGAGAAUUUGAUUUGGGUUUGAGGAGACUGUGGAGAGUACCCAAAGAUGCAGUGGCUUGGAUGCAGGAUAUACAAGGGAGUCAAUCUGCUGCCAAAUGAGGCUAUUCGGGGAGAAAGACUACAGCCUGAACCAUGAACACAAGAACUCCAUAACCUCUCAAUACUGCUAAAAAUAAAGAUUUCCAUGUAUAGAAGUUUUAAGUCUAAGGUUUCACUAAUACAAUUUCUUAUUUUAGAAACAGCAAAGGAGAGAUGAGAAUAUAUAAUAGCAAGUCAGUUGGUAGAGAAGUCAGUUGGUAAACUCAUUUUAGCAGGAGAACCAAAGUAGCUUUGAUACCUUGUAAACUUUGGGAUGGAUUAGUCUGGUGAGUUUCUUUCAUUAAGUAAUCGUAUACAUACACACAAGAGAACGCCAUUUAUGUAGAACUCUAUGCAUGGAUAAGAAGAAGAAAGGUAUAAAUAUAUUCUAUAUAUUAUCAGGCAUAUGAUAUAUGAUUUCUGAACGAGGAAGUCAGUUAAGGUAAAGGUUAAAGGAAUAAAUAUGUCAUGAUUCACUAACAUAAUGUCAUAUGUUAUUAAAAAAAAAGAGCAUAAUUCCAUAUGUUGGAAAUCUAACAAGAGGGAAGCUCUGAUAAGUGACACCAUGUAAACUUUGAGAUAAAUUUUACUCUCUGUUUUGCAUUUCAUAGAGUGACAGUAUAUUUAUACACAAUGAAGAGUCCAUGUUUUUCAGGACUUCGUACAAGAUAAAACGACUACAAGGCUGUGUAUAUCCUAAAAAACACUUGGGCCAGCCUACUAUUGAAUAACUGCAUGAGAUGAUACAAAACCUAGAUUUACAGUGUUGAAUUUCUUUGUUGAUGGCUGGAUAAUUUACACAUUUGGAUUGCUCGGUUAUUAAAUUGUCUCCUACUAUUUGCUUGUCAGUUUAAUGGUUUUUCUUCUGAUUUUUUACUAGGUGGGCUGGAGUCUAACAAUAUUUGUGGAGGCGAGUAUGAUUCAAAACUUGAAGAGUUUGUUAAGGGCUCCACAAAUGCAAAAAUUAUACCUUUUAGUGAGGUAUAUCAAAGAAGAAAAAGAGUAGGAGUUUAAUUGUGUUCAGUUAUUUAGUAGAUUAUGGAAAUCAUGUAUCAGGCGUGAUAUGUAACUGGUCAAAUAUGUAUUAUGUGUGAUAGUUGUAAGUUAUGUUGAAAUAAAGCAGAAUAAGUUAGGAUUAGGACAAAGGGGUGGUUACAAUAAAUUUGGAAAUAACUUCCAGGAUAACUGCUCUUCUGUUGUAAUAAAAGCUGCUAUUUUUUGGGACAGAUUUUUGUAUGAAUAAGUUUUUAAAAAGUUUUGAGUACUUUCUUCCCAAGAGAUUAUAAGGUUCUCUUUUAAUGAUCGUUUAGACUAAAUUCCAGAAUAUGCAGAAUAAGAAAAAGUCACAAACAUCUCCAAACUCCUACCGAUGUCUAUCUUCAUAGAUCCAUAACAAGAUCCACUAGUAGGGACCCUAA